rnacentral:rRNA from 1 species
AUUGAACGCUGGCGGCAGGCCUAACACAUGCAAGUCGAACGGUAACAGGAAGAGGCUUGCUUCUUAGCUGUCGAGUGGCGGACGGGUGUGAAAUGUCUGUGAAACUGUACGAUGGCGGGGGAUAUCAACUGGAAAAGGUAGCUAUUAUAGCGCAAAGUCGCUACACCAAAGAGGGGGACAUUUGGGCACCUUGCCAUAGGGUGUGCCCCGAUGGGAUUAGCUAGUAGGUGGGGUAACGGCUCACCUAGGCGACGAUCCCUAGCUGGUCUGAGAGGAUGACCAGCCACACUGGAACUGAGACACGGUCCAGACUCCUACGGGAGGCAGCAGUGGGGAAUAUUGGACAAUGGGCGCAAGCCUGAUGCAGCCAUGCCGCGUGUAUGAAGAAGGCCUUCGGGUUGUAAAGUACUUUCGUCGGGAAAGAAGAGAGGAAGGUUAAUACCUUGGCGCAUUGACGUUACCCACAGAAGAAGCACCGGCUAACUCCGUG